CCUACGGGAGGCUGCAGUGAGGAAUAUUGGUCAAUGGCCGUAAGGCUGAACCAGCCAAGUCGCGUGAAGGAAGAAGGAUCUAUGGUUUGUAAACUUCUUUUAUAGGGGAAUAAAGGUAUCCACGUGUGGAUAUUUGCAUGUACCCUAUGAAUAAGCAUCGGCUAACUCCGUGCCAGCAGCCGCGGUAAUACGGAGGAUGCGAGCGUUAUCCGGAUUUAUCGGGUUUAAAGGGUGCGUAGGUGGUUUUUUAAGUCAGCGGUGAAAGUUUGUGGCUCAACCAUAAAAUUGCCGUUGAAACUGGAAGACUUGAGUGUGUUUGAGGUAGGCGGAAUGCGUGGUGUAGCGGUGAAAUGCAUAGAUAUCACGCAGAACUCCGAUUGCGAAGGCAGCUUACUAAGCCAUAACUGACACUGAAGCACGAAAGCGUGGGGAUCAAACAGGAUUAGAUACCCUAGUAGUC
rnacentral:rRNA from 1 species